AUUGAACGCUGGCGGCAGGCUUAACACAUGCAAGUCGAGCGAGCGGCGGACGGGUGAGCAAUGUCUGGGAAAUUGCCUGUUGGAGGGGGAUAACCACUGGAAACGGUACCUAAUCCCGCAUACCAGCCGAUGUGCCCAGAUGGGAUUGGUUAGUAGGUGGGGAAAUGGCUCACCUAGGCGACGAUCCCUAGCUGGUCUGAGAGGAUGACCAGCCAAACGGUAACUGAGACACGGUCCAGACUCCAACGGGCGGCAGCAGUGGGGAAGAUUGCACGAUGGGCGCAAGCCGGAUGCAGCCAUGCCGUGUGUGUGAAGGAGGCCUUCAGGUUGUAAAGCACUUUCAGAGAGGAGGCGUUACUCGCAGAAAAAGCACCAGCUAACUCCGUGCGAGCAGCCGCGGUAAUUC
rnacentral:rRNA from 1 species